CCAACGUGGAUAUUCCUGGGAGGUCACUAUCCCUGGGCUCUGUCCAGGUGGCAUAGGGGAGCAUAGGGUUCUGCCCCAUGAUGUACAGUCCAUUUCCACCAUGCCUUGAGUCCUCACCUGCAUAUUCCUACAGCUUCUCAAGAGUCCUGUGGAUGAUGACAGAGGAGACAAACAAUGCGGGUAACAGCU
rnacentral:snoRNA from 1 species